rnacentral:lncRNA from 1 species
CCCAGGGCCAGGGCUGUGGUUUCAAGGCAUGGAUGGAACAGAUACCGGAUUUCUAUGGGUGCUGGGGAAGUCAAGGAAAUAAAGCAGUCUUCCAGCUCUGUGCAUUAUCGUCACAAACAAUAGCCUGCUGGCACAAAACAAGUUUUAAUUGAUUGUUGCUAUUGAUUUUACAGGAAGCAAAGCAGAAGAAAUACAACUUGAUUUUUGUAAGCCGAGGUGACCUGAAAAACACAAAGGAGAAAAAGAGAAUAGAAAACCCUCCCACAUUUUGCCCACUUCUGUGAGCUUACAGCUGAGCGCUCCAUAAAAGCCUUUUCCAUUGAUUUUCUAUGUAUUUUGACCAUAUUGAUUUUCUCAUAAUAUAAUCUCCAUCUGAAAAUUUUAUGUAGAUUGUCCAUUUUGCACUGUCACUGUGCAGAUCAGAGUCCCUUCUUGUUUCUUCCUCCUCUCCUUUCCGACCUCUCUCAGUCCACAUGGGUAGAAGCUGCACCUGGAAAUUUUUCUUCUACCUUUCUGCCUAUCUUCCCUUUCUGGAGCGUUUUCUGUUCAGGCAGAACCUAGGCUAUGGGAUUUGUUUCUGCUCCUGAUGCUCUACCAGAGCCUGGCAGGGAGCAGAGGAGGUAAUCAUAGGCUGCCAGAUGUACUGAGAUAGAUAAUUAGCCCAGGUGGGUAGGCUUGUGCUCACCGAGGGGCCUCUGGCUGGAACUGCUCAGGAAGGGAGGAGAUGGUCAACUUUGUGGGAUGCUGCUUAGAUUUAUUCUUUCCCCAAGCUCCCCUUGGGUGUGGAUUAGGAGACUGAGUGGGUGAAGUUGGAGGAUUGUAGUGGUGGUCUGUGAAACCCACCGAUGGGAAAGCUGAUGGUGCUUGGAGCUGAUUUGUCUUUGGGCUGGCUCCUGAGACAAGCCACAUGUUUAACCAGGUUCAAAAGCUGUGAUUAUGCCAGCUACCAUCUUCCUUGAGAUCUUCUGGUGGACAAGGAGAUGCUUUUAUAGAGAAACGCAGCAAUCAUCUCCAACAAAUGUGGGUGAAAACUUGAAAUCGCAGAAGAGACUGAACAUAGUUAUAAAUGAGAGCUGCAGUGGGAUGUUUCUUGAUCAGCGAGUCUCCACUCCAUGA